GGUGGAGGCUUCCAAAGGGAUCGCAUUGAUCUAAUUUUGUAACCCUAAUCACAUCCACAUGGUAUUUGCUGUUAAUUGGAUCAUGCGAUCCCUUCGGAAGCUUCCAU
rnacentral:pre_miRNA from 1 species